GUGCAUCUACUUGACAGACCUGGAGCAGUUAUACUGUCUGCUACUAAGGUUUCCACUACAGAUGCAAGAGAAAAGUAUCCUCGCGCUUUCUGCCUGCCUGCCUGUGGCAGCUAAGAUUGAAUGGGGGAAUACAGUA
ensembl:snoRNA